CUGAAGAGAUGCAAAGACCUGGGCUAUUGUGUCAAAUCAUGUAUCUUAUUUAGAUAUAUUGUACCACUUUCCAAGCGUAGCUGCCAAGGUUAGGUAACUCUUUAACUUAUCAUGGCCUGCACAUGCUGUUAAGACAUCUAUUCAUAGUUGUCGUGAUUCGACUUUCGACUGACACCUUUCUGCUCUAAUUUUGGUGAUCGUGCAUCUGAAUUGUGUUUCUGAAGAGAUCAGUGGCAAAACUUCCUCACGUUGGUCUCAUCAGCAGGUGCCUUUGAGUCAAAAUCGUCUGAUUUUAAGGGAGUCUCAGGUGUUGUUGAUGGAAAAAAUACGCCCGAAGAUGAUGCUAUUCCAGGUUAUAUUAGUGGUGCCAUUACUAGGCACUGUGCUUGUGACUCAUUCCCAAAAUGUUGUGCAUUAUUCUCAAACUAGGCUCCUAGUUGUUCCUGAAAUUUGUCCUGAAACUAUAUGAUGCAGGAGUCUUAAAAGUAGGAAAAUAACUAGCGGAAGCAACAGCUGCCACAAUUGCUUAAUUACUGUGAGUUUAGCCGAAAUGUGUUAUUUUCUGUUGCUUUUAUGUGCAGGGUAAUUUGAUUCUUUCAGAUAUAGGCUUGGCUGAGCCCGAGAAACAGAGUAUAUCAUGCUGCUCUUAAUGGUAACAACAGCAUGCCUACUGUUUUGCAUCAGAAAGACGAUUGAUAAUAUUCAUGGCCUCACUCUGAAAAGUUAUAUAGUCUUGGAUCCUUGCUACUGUUAGUGUUGCUACUGAUUAUGGUGGUUUCCACCAUACUUCUUUAACUUUCUUAUGAAUAAACGGGUGGCCAUUAAUUAUAAUAUGAUUUUCUUUGCAAUUCUUUGUCAUUCUCCACUUCUAGAGCUCUCUGAGUUACUCGAUAUAGAAAUUAUUGAAUGCCCUUGAAGUCUAAUAUGACGGAGUAUUGCAGAGAUUUUGACCAUAUUAAGGAAGAAAAAUGAGCUGAAAAUUUGUUUUUACCCAGUUCUGUAUGCCUAACAUGCACCUAAUGUAAAAACAUGCUUGGUUAAUCUGAAUUAUCCAUUUGGUGGCAUUCUUGAAGCCAAUCUAUCGAAGAAAAUCGUGGACUCAGCAAAUGUUGCUUCUGGUUGCAAUUUGAUGUAA